GUGCACCAGUCGAGAAUUUUUCUCAAUGGGGGAAACCCUGAAGGAGCGACGCCGCGUGGAGGAUGAAGGCUUUCGGGUUGUAAACUCCUGUCAUUUGGGAACAAGUUGCACACGUUAACUGCGUGGGCAUUGAUAGUACCAGAAGAGGAAGGGACGGCUAACUCUGUGCCAGCAGCCGCGGUAAUACAGAGGUCCCAAGCGUUGUUCGGAUUCAUCGGGCGUAAAGGGUGCGUAGGUGGCGCUGUAAGUCGGGUGUGAAAUUUCGGAGCUUAACUCCGAAACUGCAUUCGAUACUGCGGUGCUUGAGGACUGGAGAGGAGACUGGAAUUCAUGGUGUAGCAGUGAAAUGCGUAGAGAUCAUGAGGAAGACCAGUGGCGAAGGCGGGUCUCUGGACAGUUCCUGACACUGAGGCACGAAGGCCAGGGGAGCAAACGGGAUUAGAUACCCGCGUAGU
rnacentral:rRNA from 1 species